rnacentral:tRNA from 1 species
CCGCUUCGUGGCGUGUCGCCCCGGCAGGCGGCGCCGGCGGGCGGUCGGAGGGGCCGCUCGGGUCGUUCCGCGCCGCCGAUGCGGGC